AGCGAACGCUGGCGGCAAGCCUAACACAUGCAAGUCGAGCGGCCGUAGCAAUACGGCAGCGGCAGACGGGAGAGUAACACGUGGGAACGUGCCCUAUGGUUCGGAAUAACGCAGGGAAACUUGCGCUAAUACCGAAUAAGCCCUUACGGGGAAAGAUUUAUCGCCAUUGGAGCGGCCCGCGUCUGAUUAGCUAGUUGGUGAGGUAACGGCUCACCAAGGCUACGAUCAGAGCUGGUCUGAGAGGAUGAUCAGCCACACUGGGACUGAGACACGGCCCAGACUCCUACGGGAGGCAGCAGUGAGGAAUUUUCCGCAAUGGGCGAAAGCCUGACGGAGCAAUGCCGCGUGGAGGAUGACAGCCUGUGGGUCGUAAACUCCUUUUCUCAGAAA
rnacentral:rRNA from 1 species